rnacentral:misc_RNA from 1 species
GGGGAUUGUAGUAUCAGUUGGAGCUAUGAUCAAGCAUAUAAAUGUUUGCUUUAGAAAUAGGAUAUUAUGUCCAUUGAUUUAGUUUACUCCUAAGUUAUAUCAGCUGUCUUUCUUUUUGUUCUCCAGUCCCUAGAAGCUUAACGUUUAUCUAUUUGUGGUCAUCGUUAGUUCAUUGGUAAAUGUUUUUAGCACCAAAAAAUUUAUCUUUCAUUUG